AUUUUUUUAUUUAUAAAAUAAAUGAGAGCUCAAGCGUUAGAAGAAGGAAGAACCACGGCGAUGUCGGACUUUCUCUCAGACGAAAUUGUGGUGGAAAUCCUCCAGAGGCUACCCACCAAAACCCUAAUCCAAUUCAGGUCUGUUUCCAAAUCCUGGUACUCUCUCAUCACAAACCCUAAUUUCAUCAAUACCCAUCUCAAUUACUCACUCACUUCCAAUACCUACAAAAGCAGUCAUGAUAAUCUCCUCAUGAUAGUUAGGCAAUGUCUUUGUGAUUUACAUACUAGAACAGAGCACUGUACACUCUAUAUUGAUAGUAAUGAAUCAUUUGAGGUAUAUAAACGAUUUGUAAUCCCAAUAAAGAGUUGUCAUCUCAUCACAGUUUGGGAUGCGAAAGGUUUGUUUUGCUUUUUCGAACAAGAUCGUUUUUUGCUUUGGAACCCAUCGAUUAGAAAGUUCAUGGCUAUGGCCAAACCUACAAUCAAGACAUCUUUUAAUCAUGGGUUCGGAUUUGAUCCACAGAAUAACGAUUAUAAGAUGGUUAGAAUAGCCAAAAAUUAUUCAACUAAGGAGGAGCCAACAACACCCAUUGAGGUUUACUCCCUUAAUGCAGGCUCGUGGAAAAUGUCUAGCACAGCGAUCAACUCUUAGCCGGUUUGGAUUACUAUAUGUGAUACGGUGCGAUUCGCUGUUUAUUUAGAAGGGGCGGUUCAUUUUGCUGUGAAUAUGAAGCAAUCCAAUGAUCCAUUGAUUUUGUCGUUCAAUUUGUCUGAUGAGGUGUUUCAAACGAUGCUGUUACCAGAUAGCAUUGUAGGCCCGAGAACUCAGAUUGGUAUUUCAGUAUUUGGGGAAUUGCUUUCUCUGUUAUGUUACGAACAUACUGCUGGGAUCAAGUCUUGUUCCAUUUGGAUAAUGAAAGAGUACGGCGUAGUUGAUUCUUUGUAUAAACAGUUCAAAAUUGGUAUAAGUGGAGGAAUUACGCGUGUAUUAGGUAUCCGAAAUAAUGGUCAUGUAUUAUUGGUGGUGGCAACAACAUCAAGCGGGGGUUGGAUGCUUUCUUCAUAUGACCCUUCAAGCCAACAAAUUAAGAAUUUGGGAAUUUACACUACUGCAAACCCUUUUGUUGUUGAUACUUACGAGGAGAACCUUAUCUUACUCAACAAACCAAAUGCUGCAUUUUCUAGAAGGCGAGUGAGCAAGAGGAAGAUGUAAGAAAGAUAAAACAAAGUCGGAUAAUUUCAACUAUUCAAUGGAUUCAAAGCAUGAUCUAGAGGAUGACUUAACAUAUGACUCGUCCUUACCAAAUGGAACUACCUCUGAUAUUCUGAUCUUUUUGAGGCACGUCAGAUGAAAUGAGUUUAUAUUGUUUUGAAUUAUGUUCAGUGGAAAUAUCAUUUGUAGGAGGAAAACAAUUACUGAAUUUGAAGUUCUUUUGUUUUUAUUAUUAUUAUUUUUGCAAAAUAUUGUAAUGUCGCUGGCAAUUGGCAUUCUAAGAUCUUAAUCAUAUAUUUUUGUCCGUAUAUUUUUGUUGGAACAUCAUCAUAUUUUUAUUAAUGAAGUGUUGGAGUCAUGCUUCAUAUCUUUGCUCUA